GGAGGAACGCUUGGGAUCGCAAGACCUUGCGCUCAUUGAGCGGCCGCCGCCUGAUUAGCUAGUUGGUGAGGUAAAGGCUUACCAAGGCGACGAUCAGUAGCUGGUCUGGGAGGACGACCCCCCACACUGGGACUGAGACACGGCCCAGACUCCUACGGGAGGCAGCAGUGGGGAAUUUUGGACAAUGGGGGAAACCCUGAUCCAGCCAUGCCGCGUGAGUGAAGAAGGCCUUCGGGUUGUAAAGCUCUUUCAGCCGGAACGAAACGGUCACGGCUAAUACCUGUGACUACUGACGGUACCGGAAGAAGAAGCACCGGCUAACUACGUGCCAGCAGCCGCGGUAAUACGUAGGGUGCGAGCGUUAAUCGGAAUUACUGGGCGUAAAGCGUGCGCAGGCGGUUUUGUAAGUCAGAUGUGAAGUCCCCGGGCUUAACCUGGGAACUGCGUUUGAAACUACAAAGCUAGAAGGG
rnacentral:rRNA from 1 species